rnacentral:rRNA from 1 species
UACGUAGGGGGCAAGCGUUGUCCGGAUUCAUUGGGCGUAAAGAGCGUGUAGGCGGCCAGGUAGGUCGGUUGUGAAAACUGGAGGCUCAACCUUCAGACGUCGAUCGAAACCAUCUGGCUAGAGUCCGGGAGAGGAGAGUGGAAUUCCUGGUGUAGCGGUGAAAUGCGCAGAUAUCGGGAAGAACACCCGUGGCGAAAGCGGCUCUCUGGAACGGUACUGACGCUGAGACGCGAAAGCGUGGGGAGCGAACAGG